CCGCGUCAAAAGCGCAAGGGGCGGGAGAGCAAGAGCGUCAGUUGUCAUUGAUGCUGUGCUCUGCUGCUUUCCCGGCAGCCUCUGGGCGAGAUUGUGGCACGCCGACAUCAGAGCGAGGGUGGCAAACAUAAGGGUGGCGCUCUCUUCUCUUUUGCCUCAGCGCUCGGCUCGGUGGCUGGCCGCCAUUGUCAGCUCAGCGAGCGAGCAGCUGGAGGAGGAGGAACAGCAGGAGGAGACGGAGGAGACGAAGACGACGACCACGACAAGCCCCCCCCCACCCCCAGUGGAACGGAGAGCGACGGUGACGGCGGAGCGGGGCCGUGGCAAAGCACAAAAAAUGGAAUCGAAACCCUCAAGAAUUCCACGGAGGGUAUCUACUGCACCAUCCAGUUCUCGAAGUACUAGGACAGGAGCUGGAAGUGGAGGAACCAGUUCUACUGAUUCCUAUUGUACAAGAGAAUCAUCACUGAGACCAGAGUCUGGAUGCCAGGAAUCCAGCUGGUUGCAUAGUUCCAGUAGAGACUGGUCAGUUGGAGAAAGAGAAACCUUUGAAAGCCCAUGGAAGCUUCCAGCUUCCUCCCCAACUCGCUACUCAGGAACACUUGAUCGUCCAUGGUCUGGAAGAUUUUUGGGAAGCAGGAACAGAUUGUCCACAUCAUCAUCUUCACCUCUUACAUCUUCAUGGUUUGAUGAAUCUGAAAGAACUCAGGGAGCAUAUUCUUCAAGGCUGCAUAACCAACAAGAAGAUAGUGAUUCUAAGAGACCUAAACUUUCUUAUACAUCUACCUCUAGUGUGAGAAGUAAUGGUUUAAACACAGUUUCAGAUUCGCCAUGGAGGUAUAGUGAUGUUCCCAGAUCUUCAUCUGUGGUACUUGGAUCAUUGGGAACCGAACUUGUGAGAGAAAGAAGAGAGCUAGAAAGAGCAGACCAGUCUGUUGGCAGUCUUUUGGAUUGUAAUCACAGGAAUGGUGACUUCCCAUCUUCAUCAUAUCUUCAGGAAAGAUCUGCUGCUUCAUAUGCACAGGGAGCAAGACCAAAAGCAAACUCUUUGAGCUCUUUGAGGUUGAACACAUCCAUGAGCCGCCAGCUGCCUUCUGAGCAUCCGUCGUCAUUACUCUCUAGAGACCAUAGCUGGAACUCAAGAUCUAACUAUGUCCCAAGAGAAGUAGAGUCUUCUGAAAGGAAUUUACAGCCAGAGUUUACCCAUGGUGCCAUGAGAAGUGGAACCAGUUCUUCUAGCAGUUCUGAAAGGGUUAUGCCAUCUCAAAGAUCUCUUAGUGAACCUCCUGUAGAUACUGAAGGAAGGCGUACAACAAGGCAGCUGCUUUCUCGUUUAGCUUCUAGUAUGUCCUCCACAUUUUUCUCAAGAAGGUCCAGCCAAGACUCAUUGACUUCAAGACCACUGGGUUCUGAAGGUUCAUUUAUUCCAAGGCCUCAGUCUUCUAUUCAAGCUAAUGCUUCUAACACAGCUACAACUACGGAAGGCUCAGAAGCUCAGACUCCCGAUGCUUCUCAGGGAUUUAGCUUUCUUAGAAGACGGUGGGGCCUGUCGGGUGUUUCACCAAAUUCUGACUCUGAAGCAGAGAGUUACAGACAUGAUUCUGAAAGCAGAAAUACAGGUUCCUGGCUGUCGUCUUCUCUGAGGAACAGAUGUACUCCUUUGUUUUCCAGAAGGAGAAGAGAAGCAGUUUCAUCUCUUCCAAGAACCCCUACCUCUGAACCUCCUGCUAGAUCACUACAUCUUUUUAGGAGAAGAGAAUCUGGUGGAGAAGCAUCUCUUGAAGCACACAGUGAUUCCCUCAGGCCUGCUGCUAGGCCCCCAACACCUGCAGUACCCAAUGGUGCUACAUCUGCUGCCUCAGUGCCAGAUUCAGUGCAUAGUAGAAGGAAUUCGGGAAUAUCAGGACUAUUUCCAAAUUCUCUUUUCCGGAUUGCAGUUCCCCAAAUGGGAAACAACUUGUCUGACAAUGUCAUGAUAACUGUAGAUAUUAUUCCUUCAAGCUGGAAUCAGCCUGAUGGACAAGACAGUGACAAGUCUAAAAUACCACCUUCAAGAGAUCCAGAAAAACUUCAGAAAAUUAAAGAGAGUCUCCUUUCAGAGGACUCUGAAGAAGAGGAGGGAGAUCUGUGUAGAAUAUGUCAGAUGUCGUCUACAUCUGCUACUAAUCUCUUAAUAGAGCCAUGCAAAUGCACUGGAAGUCUGCAGUAUGUUCACCAGGAGUGUAUGAAAAAGUGGUUACAGUCCAAGAUUAACUCGGGUUCUUCAUUGGAAGCAGUAACUACUUGUGAAUUGUGCAAAGAGAAGCUACAUCUCAAUCUUGACAAUUUUGAUAUUCAUGAGCUUCAUAGAGCACAUGCAAAUGAACAAGCAGACUAUGAAUUUAUCAGUUCUGGGCUUUACCUUGUAGUGUUGUUACACUUGUGUGAACAGCGCUUUUCAGAUAUGUUGGGAACUACAAGUGAGGCCAACACGCGUGUCCGGUUUAUUAACCUUGCAAGAACUCUUCAGGCACAUAUGGAUGAUAUUGAAAAGAUGGAAGUUUGGGGCAUUGUGAGUAAGUGAAUGAAUGUGGAAGAAGAGAUCUCAAGGAAUCUAAUCGAACCCCUGUGCUGAGUACAUACCCUGCAAAUGAAAUGCCCCUAGCAAGAUGACUUGUGACAUCCAGAGUGUACUGUGCUAGAGCAGGAGGAAGCAUCUGCUCUAUGGCAGAGGGGCUCAGCAGCUUCAGAUGAUGAUGAUUCUGAAGAUGGUGAUCUUGGUAGAACACUUGACGCUGUGUAAAUGCAAACGGAAGGACUGGAUGCUCAACCGACACAAGUACCGUCUCUAUAUGCAUUUGUUUAGCAAAACACACUGAAUACUGUUAAAUUACUAAAGCGUUGCUGAGUUCAAAAACCUGCUGUUGCACACUGGAAUUUGGAAACCUGAACAUUCAGUCUGCAAGAAAUGUUCUCCUUUGAGAUUAUAACGUGUAUGCCUUCUUCUAAAAUAUCAGAUUUUUAUGUGUAAGGAAGAUGCUUUCCUUUUGUAUAAACUUCUUACAGUAAUCAGUUAAACUUCUGGAAAACUUUUCUCAAGUUUGCUCUUCUUCUACUGGCACUAAGUGGUAAUGUUAAGUGUGUUUGCAAGUCAUGUGGAAUGGAUACUUUGUGCUAGUUUUCCAUUUAAGAACACCUUUGGGAAGUCUCACCAUUUUUUGCUUCCAGUGUUAACACCAUAGGAUGAAUGAAGGAAUGAUUGGGUUCUGUGAAGUUAGUGUUACGUUUCUAGUUUUUCCUUGAGGAAUGUUUAACUCAAAGCAAUAAACUUGCAAGGGGCUACUAAUAAGCGUUAAUUACGGCUUUUAUAAGUAUUGAUUUUGAAACUGCAGAUUAUAUUUGAUAUUAUGUAGAUGUUCCAAUAAGGAAUUACAGCUGUAAACACUUGCAUUUCAGCAUUCCUGGCAGGAAUAAAACUUGUGGUUUAAAAUCUUAACCAAGCUAUUUAUCUUAAUGAACCUUUUUUAGAACCCACAUUCACUGCUGAAGCACUGGUUAUCAAUGUGUUUUCUAGUGUUGUCACCUGUUUGUUAAAUAAAAAUUGCAAUGCAUAUAA